UCUAUUUUGUUGGUUUUCAGAACUGAGGCCAUAAUUAAGAGGGAUGCUUGGG
rnacentral:rRNA from 1 species